ensembl:lncRNA
GGGGCAUUGUCCAAAAAUAUAAUCGUAGUUACACACUAGUGAUAUGAAGUUCGAACCUCUGAAUCUUGUUCAGCAAAAUGAACGGAUCAUUUCUCGAGUCAUUUCGUGCAUUUCAGCAGAAUAUAAUUAAAUGUUACAUGUUACAUUCCCCAAGACAUCUAGUACUUAUGCAAAAUUUGAUCACAUCUGGAAUAAAAAAUAAACUAUAGGCUAAUGUAACCAAGGCCAAAUUAUGAGAAACAGAAAUGAUUCAUUAAUAGCUUAGCUGGUCUUCAGCCUAUGCAGUCAGGCUAAACAGAAAUUAUUAGUUCAUCUCUCAAGUCUUCGGGUUCGAGUCAUUCGUGAAGUAAUCAUUUCUGCUUCCAGUAUAUGGUGCAUUGCCUAUGCGGCGGUCACCGGAAGAACGAACAACUCAAACCCGAAGACUCUAGAGGUGAAUUAAUCAUUUCUGUUUCCGGUACAGAAACUACUGGAAUGUUUCCGCGCAUGCGCGGUCAAAAAUGAACGAAUCACUCUCUGAGACAACUCCGUUGUUCCCGAGCCAUAUUAAAGAUCCGUUCGAAUUGAACGAAUUGUUCAUGAACGACACAUCACUAUUACACAGACACAUACACACACACAUAAAGAAAAAGGUUUUUACUCGCCGUGUCGUCUGUGUAGAUCUGUUACUUACUUGGUUGAGCAGUAAACAUGUCCCGAUCCAGCAGACGGGCCUUAAGAUAGUUCUGUGUAGUUUCUGUUUCUGCUUCUAAUAAAAAUAAACAAGUACCUCCCUACUGUGGAAAUCCCCAGUUGCGCCGAAGCAAACACAGCAAUUGACAGUAUAAGUAUACGAUCAAAACGUUUUUAUAACCCGUGACAUACUAAACAAAUUCCAAAUAAUUCAGAGACGUUCAGAGAAGUUUAAAGAGACGGGAGUGCCAAAGGAGGCAGCUUUGAAAAAAAAAAUCAAAUCCAGUGCAGUCAUGUGAAAUAAAGCAUGACCAUUGCCUCAUGACAAAUCAGAAGUUUCAACAAUAUGAAGUUCAUUACACGCAUUUUUAUGGUUAUUUCAGUAGCCUGGUUCUAUUAGACAGAAAUGUGUGUGUGUGUGUGUGUGUGUGUGUGUGUGAGAGAGAGAGAG